GUGAGGAAUAUUGGUCAAUGGACGGAAGUCUGAACCAGCCAUGCCGCGUGAAGGAUGAAGGCGUUCUGCGUUGUAAACUUCUUUUAUUUAGGAAGAAACCACCGAUUUCUAUUGGUGUUGACGGUAUUAAAUGAAUAAGCACCGGCUAACUCCGUGCCAGCAGCCGCGGUAAUACGGAGGGUGCGAGCGUUAUCCGGAUUUACUGGGUUUAAAGGGUGCGCAGGCGGUCUUAUAAGUCCGGGGUGAAAUACUACAGCUCAACUGUAGAACUGCCUUGGAUACUAUAGGACUUGAAUCGAGUAUAGGUCAGCGGAAUACAACAUGUAGCGGUGAAAUGCAUAGAUAUGUUGUGGAACACCGAUUGCGAAGGCAGCUGACUGGGCUUGAAUUGACGCUCAGGCACGAAAGCGUGGGUAGCGAACAGGAUUAGAUACCCUGGUAGUCC
rnacentral:rRNA from 1 species